GUGCUUGCUUUGGCAGCACAUAUACUAAAAUUGGAAUGAUAAAGAGAAGAUUAGCA
ensembl:snRNA U6 U6 spliceosomal RNA